AGCGAACGCUGGCGGUAGACCUAACACAUGCAAGUCGAACGGCAGCACAGUAACAGCUUGCUCAUACGUGCGGCGCGCGGCGGACGGUGGAGGAAGAUUCCGGAAUAUACUCUUAAGUGGGGGCUAACGCCGGGAAACUUACGCUAAUACCGCAUACGACCUACGGGUGAAAGCAGGGGUUCUUCGGACUUUGCGCGAUUUAAUGAGCCGAUGUAGGAUUAGCUAGAUGGCGGGGUAAAGGCCCACCAAGGCGACGAUCCGUAGCUGGUCCGAGAGGAAGGUCAGCCACACUGGAACUGAGACACGGUACAGACUCCUGCAGUGAGAAACAGUGGGGAAUCCUGGACGAUGGAGGAGAGCCGGAUCCAGCCAUACCGCGUGAAUGAUGAAGGCGCUAGGGUUGUAGAGCCCUUAUGUUGUUAGAGAAAAACAGCAGGUUUAUACCCCGCGAUACUGACAGUACCCAAAGAAUAAGCACCGGCUAACUUCGUG
rnacentral:rRNA from 1 species